UCAAGAGGAACUCAAUGAAUACAUAAAGAACACUAACUCUUAAUAUAAGCAAGACUCGGGAGUGGCACACCAAGCACAGUGAGCUUAGUUAACAGUCACCUUCCCCACCAUUCCAGCUCCCUGGUGAGGAGCGCAGUAGAAGGUGUAGGUGCCCUUCUCCUUCAAGGUCACCUGGUAGGUCUCGCCUGGGGCAUUCAGUAGGUCCUCCUCGGGCAUGGAGAUGGAGCCGACGUUGACACCCGCGGGGAUCUCGUCCUCGUCGAACACCACGUUGUGGGGGAACCCGGCGUUGUUCUUGAACACGAUCGUCUCCCCCGAGGGCACCGAGAACUCGUUGGGCACGAAGGCCAGCGAGCCGUCGCUGCCUCCCAGAAGCACGUCGAAGGCGAGCGCGUUGCCCGCCAGCACCGCGCUCGCGGCGACCGCGGCCGCGGCCGCGCCCACCUCCCUCAGGGACGCCCGGGCCACCAUGGCCGCGGCAGGAGCCUUGCUGUGCGCGGCGACGACGCUGGCGCCGCGCCUCGCGGCCGAUGUGCCGGCCCUCAGCCCGGUGAAGGUGGGGAUGGUGACUGCUGCGCUGGUCAAGCUGGCCAUUACUGCGUCUGAGCUUAUCCUCACCGGUUUCUG
rnacentral:lncRNA from 1 species